GACGAACGCUGGCGGCGUGCUUAACACAUGCAAGUCGAACGAUGAAGCCCAGCUUGCUGGGUGGAAGAGUGGCGAACGGGUGAGUAACACGUGAGUAACCUGCCUAUCACUCUGGGAUAAGCGCUGGAAACGGCGUCUAAUACUGGAUACGACCUAUCACCGCAUGGUGUGUGGGUGGAAAGAUUUAUCGGUGGUAGAUGGACUCGCGGCCUAUCAGCUUGUUGGUGAGGUAAUGGCUCACCAAGGCGACGACGGGUAGCCGGCCUGAGAGGGUGACCAGCCACACGGGGACUGAGACACGGCCCAGACUCCUACGGGAGGCAGCAGUGGGGAAUAUUGCACAAUGGGCGCAAGCCUGAUGCAGCAACGCCGCGUGAGGGACGACGGCCUUCGGGUUGUAAACCUCUUUUAGUAGGGAAGAAGCGUAAGUGACGGUACCUGCAGAAAAAGCACCGGCUAACUACGUGCCAGCCGCCGCCGUAA
rnacentral:rRNA from 1 species